UACAGAGGUCUCAAGCGUUGUUCGGAUUCAUUGGGCGUAAAGGGUGCGUAGGUGGCGCUGUAAGUCGGGUGUGAAAUUUCGGAGCUUAACUCCGAAACUGCAUUCGAUACUGCGGUGCUUGAGGACUGGAGAGGAGACUGGAAUUCAUGGUGUAGCAGUGAAAAUGCGUAGAGAUCAUGAGGAAGACCAGUGGCGAAGCGGGUCUCUGGACAGUUCCUGACACUGAGGCACGAAGGCCAGGGAGCAAACGGG
rnacentral:rRNA from 1 species